rnacentral:lncRNA from 1 species
CCUUGGACCCCAUGGCCUCCUCCGUACGUGCUCUUUACUUUGACUCUCUUCUUCCUCGUGAUGUUGUUGCUAUGCUGUUAUCUUGUGGCUGAUCUGCAGGAUCAAUAACGUGCCGAAACAAAGGAAACCAUUGACAUGAGUCUCGGUGUAGGUUUAUUUUUGCCAAAACAUAUUUGGAAAGAACAGCAUAUAGGAAAUCAAAUUGUAAUCGGCAGAUCAUAACAAUCAAUAAACGCAGCCUGGGUGGCGCAAAAACGAAAUUCAAAUGGAUGCAGGUUGUUUCCGUCUUUUUUUGUCCUCCAGAAAAACUGGGGAGAAUAAAUAGCAAGAGUAUUUUGCUUGGUAAGGAAAGGAAAAUGAUGAAUCAGUAGAUUACAUACAGAGUGCAUCUGCAUGCAAUCAGGAAGGCGAAUCGGGAAUGUAGAGCAAGAAUCAAGGAAGGUUACCUUUUCCUCCUCAUCUGCUGUGGUGCGGCAAUGGCGAUGGAACGGAAGAAAGGUGUAGUAGUAAUGAGGAAGCGCGUCCACGGCCAUGGCUGUAUUUGAAUGGUUCCAUUCAAUCAGCCAACUGGAGUGGAAUCGAAGAGGUGCGUCGAGACUGGGGAGGCGCCAAGGAGAGGGGCGCACGACUACUCGGUGCUCAUGCAUGAUGCUACAUGCGGUGCAAUCAUCAGUCCCGUUCAUACCGAUGGAUGCCUGCUUGCUUAAUUACGUAUAGCUUAAUCAUCCACACCUGAUACCUGCCAUUACUAUUUUUUUUUUUGUUAUACAUCUGCCACUACUAUCCUUCUUACUGUUAUUGGUUUUACCUUGUCCAUCAGUCAAUGAUGUCUUUCUCACCUAGACACUGACCCUGCAAUUUGUUUUUGUUCUUUUGCUUUGCACCAGAGGGCCCAGGUCGUGCAGCGAAAACCAAGUCAACACCCCCAACAUACGGUGGGUAGCUUGGCGCAACAAACGUCCAGGCUCGUGGUCAAAGCAUCAACCAAAUGCGUCGUGCUCGCUACUCCGAGUCCUCACUGACAUCAUACACCCAUGCAAUCCAACCGCCAAAUUCCACACAUAGACAAAUACGUAGAAAAGAUUUCAUGUAUAAAUAGAUUCAUUUUAAAGCGCUGUACAUGCAAAUCAUGCAAUUUCAUGCCUCAUGUUUCUUUUUUCUGG